GAUGAACGCUGGCGGCGUGCCUAAUACAUGCAAGUCGAGCGAACAGACGAGGAGCUUGCUCCUCUGACGUUAGCGGCGGACGGGUGAGUAACACGUGGAUAACCUACCUAGAAGACUGGGAUAACUUCGGGAAACCGGAGCUAAUACCGGAUAAUGUAUUGAACCGCAUGGUUCAAUAGUGAAAGACGGUUUUGCUGUCACUUAUAGAUGGAUCCGCGCCGCAUUAGCUAGUUGGUAAGGUAACGGCUUACCAAGGCAACGAUGCGUAGCCGACCUGAGAGGGUGAUCGGCCACACUGGAACUGAGACACGGUCCAGACUCCUACGGGAGGCAGCAGUAGGGAAUCUUCCGCAAUGGGCGAAAGCCUGACGGAGCAACGCCGCGUGAGUGAUGAAGGUCUUCGGAUCGUAAAACUCUGUUAUUAGGGAAGAACAAAUGUGUAAGUAGCUAUGCACGUCUUGACGGUACCUAAUCAGAAAGCCACGGCUAACUACGUG
rnacentral:rRNA from 1 species